rnacentral:rRNA from 1 species
AGAGUUUGAUCAUGGCUCAGGACGAACGCUGGCGGCGUGCCUAACACAUGCAAGUCGAGCGGGGAUCAUAUAGGGAAGUCUUCGGAUGGAACGGUAUGAUUCUAGCGGCGGACGGGUGAGUAACGCGUGAGCAACCUGCCUAUCACAGGGGGAUAACGCACCGAAAGGUGUGCUAAUACCGCAUAAGACCACAUUGGGGACAUCCCAAAGGGGUCAAAGGAGGAAUCCGGUGAGAGAUGGGCUCGCGUCUGAUUAGCUAGUUGGUGAGGUAACGGCCCACCAAGGCGACGAUCAGUAGCCGACCUGAGAGGGUGAUCGGCCACAUUGGAACUGAGAGACGGUCCAAACUCCUACGGGAGGCAGCAGUGGGGAAUAUUGGGCAAUGGGGGAACCCUGACCCAGCGACGCCGCGUGAAGGAAGAAGGUCUUCGGAUCGUAAACUUCUAUCCUUGGUGAAAAUAAUGAUGGUAGCCAAGAAGGAAGCCCCGGCUAACUACGUGCCAGCAGCCGCGGUAAUACGUAGGGGGCAAGCGUUGUCCGGAAUGAUUGGGCGUAAAGGGCGCGUAGGCGGCCGGUUAAGUCUGAAGUGAAAGUCCUGCUUUCAAGGUGGGAACUGCUUUGGAUACUGGCAGGCUUGAGUGCAGGAGAGGUAAGCGGAAUUCCCGGUGUAGCGGUGAAAUGCGUAGAGAUCGGGAGGAACACCAGUGGCGAAGGCGGCUUACUGGACUGUAACUGACGCUGAGGCGCGAAAGUGUGGGGAGCAAACAGGAUUAGAUACCCUGGUAGUCCACACUGUAAAC